rnacentral:rRNA from 1 species
CAGCGCCACGGUAAUACGUAGGGUGCAAGCGUUAAUCGGAAUUACUGGGCGUAAAGCGUGCGCAGGCGGUUUGUUAAGACAGAUGUGAAAUCCCCGGGCUCAACCUGGGAACUGCAUUUGUGACUGGCAGGCUAGAGUAUGGCAGAGGGGGGUGGAAUUCCGCGUGUAGCAGUGAAAUGCGUAGAUAUGCGGAGGAACACCGAUGGCGAAGGCAGCCCCCUGGGCCAAUACUGACGCUCACGCACGAAAGCGUGGGGAGCAAACAGGAUUAGAGACCCCCGUAGUCCCUGUCUCUUAUACA